rnacentral:lncRNA from 1 species
GAUCACUGGACUUCUUCACCACAGGGAAUCCGACCUCCAUUUCUGCCUCUGCCUUGUGUUUCUUCUCUGCCGAGGAAAGGGAGGCCAAUGGCCAAAGCUUACCGGUUGCGGUCCCUCUCAAAGGUUGGUUGCUCUUCAUGCUCUUGCUCCCGCUCUUCUUCUUGUUCUUCUUCCUCCUCCCGUUGUUGUUGCAGUAGAACUCGGAGGAGUCGGAAGAAAAGCUCUUCGACGAGAACAGAGUUCCCGACUCUUCCUCUUCCUCGCCGCUGCUGAAGAGACCGAGUUCGCCGUUGCGAUCCAAGGAAGAAGAGCUGCUAAAUCCAUAACCGUUGCUUGACAACAGCUUCCUCGUUGCCUUUCUUCGGCUGCUUCCUCUCCUCCCACAAGCUUUCUUCUUCUUGUCUUCGUCGUGAGAGCGGUAGUAGCGAUUCCUCAUCGGAGAAUCCGGAGGAGCGGGAGGGCACUU